GUGUGAUGUCACGUGCCUGUGGACCCAGCUACUCAGGAGGCUGAGGUGGGAAGAUUGCUUGAGCACAGGAGACCACGGCUGCAGUGAGCUAUGAUCACACCACUGUACUCUAGCCCGGGUGACAGAGUAAGACCCUGUCUCCCCCACAAAAAAACCCAUGGAGAGUCCUCAAAAAUUUAAAAAUAAAGCUACCAUAUGUGAUUUAUAUAUCCCAAAGAAAUGAAAUCAGUAUGUUAAAUAGAUACCAGCACUCCAAUGUUUCCUGUAGCACUAUUCAUAAUAGCCAAGAUAGGUCAUCAACUUAACUGUCAAUGGAUGAAUAGUUAAAGAAAAUGGUGGUAUAGGCAGGCACCACUGCACCCGUCAGCCUUUAA
rnacentral:lncRNA from 10 species